GAUGAAGAACGUAGCGAAAUGCGAUAAGUAGUGUGAAUUGCAGAAUUCAGUGAAUCAUCGAAUCUUUGAACGCACAUUGCGCCCCUUGGUAUUCCAUGGGGCAUGCCUGUUCGAGCGUCAUUUGUACCUUCAAGCUUUGCUUGGUGUUGGGUGUUUGUCCAUUCUCUUGCAGAGGGACUCGCCUUAAAGUAAUUGGCAGCCAGUGUUUUGGUUUUGAAGCGCAGCACAAGUCGCGAUUCAAAGCUAUAUGCCCGCUUCCACAAGCCUUCUUCACUUUUGACCUCGGAUCAGGUAGGGAUACCCGCUGAACUUAAGCAUAUCAAUAAGCGGAGGA
rnacentral:misc_RNA from 1 species